UAGAAAACAACUAUGUCUAAAUAAUUAUACAUAAAAGUAUUAUAAAAAUUCAGGAGAAUAAUAAGUUUGAUGCAGUUCUACUUGAUAUUGUUAUUCAGAAUGAUGUCCUGUUUUCUGUCAUAAUUAUACACCUGUUGAGGCUUGGCAUGUGUAUCAUGUCGACAAACCGCGCCGAUAAAGAUAAUCUUGUGUUUGUAUGUUUUCCUCAUUCGAAGGAAAAAGGUGCUUUGUACUGUCUCAAUUGGAGAAAUUUCCGUUUAAAUUUCAAAAUUCGAUUGGCGUGGGAGAUGUUACGAUAACAUUUGCAGUACUAUAUAAUGGCAAACUAGAUCAGUAUCGAUUAUAGCGAUUCAAGUUGUUGCACAGUUAACUCGAUUUGAAAGAUCAUCACAUUUGUGAAAAUGAAACUGCUUAUUUCUCUUUUGCUCAUCGUGGCAAUCGCUACUCUUCAAGUAUAUGGAUAUACAUGUGACCCCAAGGAAUGUAACGCAGGAUGUGUUUCUCGUGGCAACCAGUAUGGAUACUGCAAUACCCCUAAGCAAUGCAUGUGCGUCGCAAAGGGUUAAACAUUCCAUAAAUUUCAAUCUUUAGAUACACGCAAGUUAAUAAAUCAAUGUUCAAUGGUAAAAAUGAAAUAAUAGUCUAUCUGUCAAUAAAAAUCUCCUAUAAAUGUUAAAA